rnacentral:rRNA from 1 species
GACGAACGCUGGCGGCGUGCUUAACACAUGCAAGUCGAACGGACAGGCCCUGCUUUUGUGGGGUGCUCGAGUGGCGAACGGGUGAGUAACACGUGAGUAACCUGCCCUUGACUUUGGGAUAACUUCAGGAAACUGGGGCUCAUACCGGAUAGGAGCUCCUGCUGCAUGGUGGGGGUUGGUAAGUUUCGGCGGUUGGGGAUGGACUCGCGGCUUAUCAGCUUGUUGGUGGGGUAGUGGCUUACCAAGGCUUUGACGGGUAGCCGGCCUGAGAGGGUGACCGGCCACAUUGGGACUGAGAUACGGCCCAGACUCCUACGGGAGGCAGCAGUGGGGAAUAUUGCACAAUGGGCGGAAGCCUGAUGCAGCAACGCCGCGUGCGGGAUGACGGCCUUCGGGUUGUAAACCGCUUUCGCCUGUGACGAAGCGUGAGUGACGGUAAUGGGUAAAGAAGCACCGGCUAACUACGUG